rnacentral:rRNA from 1 species
ACGAGGUAGAUAGGGCAGAGGUGGAAGUACAGUAAUGUAUGGAGCUGACUGUUACUAAUCGGUCGAGGGCAUAACCAAA